ensembl:snRNA U1 U1 spliceosomal RNA
AUACUUACCUGGCAAGGGAGACACCGUGAUCAUCCAAGGCGGUUCACCCAGGGCGAGGCUCGGCCAUUGCACUGCGGCUGUGCUGACCCCUGCGAAUUUCCCAAAUGUGGAAAUCUCGAUUGCAUAAUUUCUGGUAGUGGGGGACUGCGUUCGCGCUCUCCCCUG